AUGGUAGCUGGUAGUGCCAUUGGAGGUAUGGAAGAGACGCAAGAGAUGAUUGAUUUUGCUGCUGAACAUAACAUAACAGCUGACAUCGAGGUUAUCCCGAUUGAUUACCUGAACACCGCAAUGGAACGCGUUGUCAAAAAAGAUGUCAGGUUUCGAUUUGUCAUCGACGUUGAGAACACAUUGAAGUCCGCCUAAGUUUUUCAUUCAAUUCUGUUAAUAAGACUAUGCAUUAAUAUAUAUGACUGACUUUCCAUAGGAUGGAGUUAUCAGUCUUCAAAUUUCUAGACAUAUUUUGUGAUCAAAUAAAUGGAAUGGCUUUGUUUUCCUUUUCCAUUAAGAUUAGAUUUCAGUUGUAUUGUUUUUAAAGAGAUUGAUGUUUUUAUUAAUUGUAACAGUGUUAUCAAUCUAAUCAUGUAAAAAAUCUGUAAGAAAUAUCUACGUGAUUUCCUGUUAUAAUUACUGUCGAUUUUGGUCAAGUAAAGCUUAGCUAAUAUCAUACUUAAAUACCUUCAAGUCUGCAACAGACAGUUAUGAUACAAAUAUAUCAAACUGCAGUUCUGUUGCACAAUUCUGUUGGGAUUCGCAGAUCAAAGUACUCAGACGACAUUUUUGUACAAGCUUCCUUUUGGUUUUCUUUGUAAUGGGCCUAUUUUUCCGUCUUAUAUUUUUCUUGUNNNNNNNNNNNNNNNNNNNNGUAAAAAAAUUUCACUUUGUAUAUGCAUGUGACAUGUAUGAUAAUAUAAAUAUAUAAAUACUUUAAUAAGUAUGUGAUAAAACUAGAAAAUAAAAAUCAGUAAGGAAAAUAAUAAUAUGCAAUCCAUUAUGGCAUUAUUAUUGAAUUAGAAAGUUUAGAGAGAAUAAAUGUAAUAUUAUUUUUUGUUUAAUCAGUGUCCUUAAUAGUCAUUGUGUAAGAGGAUAAAUAUGUCAUUUAAUAAUUCAUAAUAAAGUGAGGUUAAAUGAGCAAAUUUGGAUGUCCCAAUAGCCACACUCGUGUAUUAUAUUCUUGCCAUUUGAUUAAAUUGAGUAGUGGGACUAGGUGUGGGCUCCCAAAAUGUGAUGGACUCUUCACCAUUUCAUGAAUUUUCCUUUCUUAAUAAGCUAAUGUUGCUUUUCCAUACUUAAUAAGCUAAUAUUGCUUUUACUCUAUAACAUAAUUUUUUCAAGUUCGCUAUAUUCAGACCAUAAGUUGAGACUUGAGACUUAACAUUUAUUUUCUUAUUUCGUUAAAGUGUAUGAUAUUUUCUUAGGUGCCUACCUGUUUAUGAUACAUACAUUUACAUUUAAGACAAUAAAUUUAUUGUCAAUUUAGUAAAGAGAAUCAUUAUUUGAGUAAUUAUUGUUUUAUUAGUGGUAAUUACUCAACCUAUGAUAUUUUUUUUCUUUUUCUUUUUAAAAGACUACAUAGCUAUGACAUCUUUACAAGUUUAUGAACAACUUAUUGUCGAUAUAUAUAGUUAUUUGAUUCUAUCAUAUGUAAAUGUGUAAAACCAAUGUAAUAAUUUUGUUGUCAAUGUUAACAUGUUGUAUAUUGAUUCAAUUAACUUGUAAAUUUGGUUUAGUUAGUUGUAAAAUGAGUAUAUGAUAUACAUCUCAGUUCUAUAGACUACACCAAAAUAUAUAUAUCGAUGAUAUAUAAGGAUCCAAUAACACACAACAAAAAAUAUUAAUUGGAGAGGGACCAAAACCAAUACCUCCAACAACAACAAAAAAAAAUAAAAAACACGAACUUGAGGUGAGGAUGAAAUAAGAUGAUGUACAACAUAACUUGCCAAACAUUGGCUCUUCAUUCAUACAAAAACUCUCUUAAUUUGGAAUCUGAAAAAUCUAACCAUAAAGUAUUCGUGUACCUUAUUUGAUAAAGGAAAGGAGAAUUAAAAGAUAACUUUGAUUAGGCAUAAAUUAAAACCACUGCAUAAUCAACAAAAAAGUUGCAAGAACUAACACAAUGAUUUGUAUAGUUUGAUCGAGCUAGCUAGCUAUAUAUCAGUGCUCUUCGAUCAGAAGUUGUAUAAAGCCUUUAUUCCUUGAACAUCGUCCUCAGUCAAACUUGUUUUAGUCACUCCCGGGGGAAUACCUGGGGCCAUGACAGCUCCCGGCAAUGAGCUAUGUUGAAGUCCCAGAAGGUGCCCUAUUUCAUGCAAAGCCACACUCUCGAGGUCAAAAGCACCUGGUUUAGCACCCACAGUCCAAGUAUCAUCUGCGUCGUAGUGGAAUCUUCCAUCUGAAGGACAAAAAGAAUGUGCAAGGAUUCCUCCAGGCCCAUCAAAUGGAACACCGUCUCCAUGAUCACCCCUCUGAAAACUAAUCUUCAAAUCUGCAUUAUAGUAACUUUGAGCCGGACUGAAUGUAAAGCGAGAGCUCUUUGCCCAUGUCGCGAAAGCCCGUGCAACAGCAGCCGUGGCUUCAGAUCGGGUGCCAGGGAGAAAACCGUAGGUGAGAUGGUAUUUAGAGGAAGGCCAUUUUGGACUUCCUGGGAAAAAUGAGUAGAGAGCAGUGGUAUGAAUUGAUCCUGCGAAACAACAUCAAGGAUUUUAAAUUUAUCAAACGUAAUGUUCAACUCUUAAUUCAAGAGAAUUACUGUACAGUUUCAUAGUUGGUUUUGAAACUCAAUUAACAUGAGGAAAAAUGGUAAUUGAACAUGAAUGCAUGCAUCUUAGCGGGACAACGUAAUUGUCUACUAAGAUGAAAUUGCUAGCUGGAUACCAUGGUGGUGCCCUUUAUUGGCUGAUCGCAUGAACGAUGUGCCAUUGAUGAUAUCCGGCACGCCACAACGAGGCAUCAUCAUCUUCGACACGGUUUUGUUGUCCAAUUUUCCGGUGACCUCGAGGCGGUAAUUGAUCUGGUAGGUCUUGAUUGCUUCCUCCAAGAGGUCGUCAAAGUCGUCGUUGAAAAGACUGCGGUUCUUGUAGUUCAAGUAACCGAAUUUUUCAAGGUAAUUUUUGAGGUCAUUGAGGCCUUUGAACUUGUCACCUUUUUGUCUCCCCUUGAGAUGCUCAAGGAACUUAAAAGGGGAUGAUGUUUUGUUGGGAGUUUCUUUUGCAUUUGCAUAAUGGAGGAAAGGAAGAAUGGAGAGGAGGAGGAAGAGAGUGAAUGAAAAGAGAGAAAUACUAUAUUUUAAAGCCAUUAUGGUUUAGGAUGGAAUCUGUUGCAAAAGCUUCAUAUCUUGGUUGCUACUUAGGGUUACAAACUUACAACAUGCUCUUUGGUGAAUAUUUAAUUAUUAUUAAUGCUGUGUUAUUUCACUUCUUUGUCAUCAUCACAAAUGCCUAAUCAUGUAUGGCCGCAAUAAGAUUUAAAAUUUGUGGCCUCAAACCUAUGUGUCAUGUCAUGUAGAUGAAUAAAAAUAUUUAUUUUUAAUUUCAUAUUAAUAUAUCUUGCCAAAUCAUACUAUUGUAUUAGCAAUUUUACCAUUUCUAUUUCUUUUUACAUUUUAAGGAGUGAACUAAUGAUAUUAAUGAAUUUUAUUAGGUAAUGGAAAUAAAUAUUAUGCACUAAUAGCAACCAUUAAUCAUAAAUAAAUACAAGGAAUGUUUCAUUGUUUCUUACACAUUGUACGUACUUAUACCUAAUUCGUUAACCACUCCGAAACGCCUCUAGAGUGGUCAUUGUCUAGCUUCCUCAAAGACUCUUAUUACCUCUUUAAGGAUUAAUAUUAUUAUUACUUUAAGGACUCAUGUGGUAACUAAGAAUAUUUACAACUUUAAGGACUCAUUUACAUCUUCAAGGACUAAUAUUAUCACUUCGAGGACUCAUUUUACAACUUUAGGACAAUGUUGAUGCAUGUCAUGCAUUAACACAUUGCAGAAUUUUCCUAUUGAGAGAUGUUUUUACUCCGACGUUUGUUGAGAGAUGUCUUUACUCCGUCUCUAAAAUCAAAAGGUCUGUGAAUUUAACCAAAAGACCCACAAAAAUCAAUAAUAGCUACUAGUAAUCGAAAGAUGGAUUUCAGCCCCAGAGCAAGACGUCCUUACUCCCGCGAGCCUGCUAGCUAAAGAGAGAGUCAAAGCCGCCGCGAGGAUGCCGGAGCCGAAGGUAAGUUCCAGGCUUUAUUAAGGGAAAUAACACCAAACCUUCCAAGUAAAACCAACUAUAUAAAAAACUAACGAAAACGAAACUUCGGUAGACCGGAACAAUCACUAUUACAUUGUCCCUGAAUAAAGGAUGGAGGCAAAUCCCACCAAAGUAUCAGCCACAUGAUUACAUUCACGAAAAAUAUGCGAAGAUUUGAAAUGCAUUUACCCCAUUCUAUAAGAAGCUUCCAAGGGACCAACUGAAGAGAGCAAAUGAAGUCAAGAACCAUAAAGGAUUUAAACUUCAAUCAGCGUUGACGGAUUUCAAACUUAGGUAUCAGUGUUCCACAUCUAUACUUUAACUAACUUGACCACCUGUGUGGUGGUUAAUUUUUGUUUUUUCAUUAGCUAAAUAUCAUUAAAAAUUAGUUUAAUUGUAGCUUAAUUCUAUCAUCCAACCAUUGAGAGAGCACAUGUAUAUUAUGUUUGGACCUCAAUUCCCCCUCUUCCCCUAAAGUCCAAACCCAACUUUCAAAUCCUGUUCCUGUCAGCAAUAUAUGGCGGGCCUAGGAUUUUAGGUUGGGGUGGGCUGAAAUUUUUUUCUUAGAGUUUUUUAAUUUUUUUUCUUCUAUAUUUUACAUAUCACAUUUUAGAUUAAAAACAUAUCAAAUAAUCACGUAGUUAACUAAUCAUUAAGAAAUCAAUAUUAUAACAUUUUAUAGAAAUUCGAUAACAAAAGUUAAAGAUAAAAGAACAUACCUACUCAAAUUGAACCUCUAUGCUCUUGAAUAGAAGCAAAAUCUAAUAACUAAACAUACAGUCACCGCUCUAACAAUAUAGUAAACGAGUGUAUAAUCCUUAAACCUAACUGGACGGAAAAACACAAUCUAAUAACUAUGAAUCAAACGUUGGUACUAUUACAACUAUAUAUCUAUAUAUAUACACAUCAUUAGCAUUAGUCAUCUACAAUAAAUUAAGCAAGCAAUUGAGAUUAGAAUUGGAAUAUCAAUUGAAAUACAGUGCGAUGGGAUGAUGAGAUAUUGAGACUAUUAAGGCAUUAAUCAAUUGAGAUUUGAGAUGAUGGGAUAUUGGGACUAAAUUUGAUCAAGGCAUUAAUCAAUUGAGAUUUGAGAACUAGGUCAUAUGACACGUAUACAAGACUCCAAGAGGAUGGCCGAUAUAACUAAGAAUCAUAUAUACAGAUUAAAAUGAGAAAGCUUGGCACUUAGCUUAGAAUUAGUAAGCAAGCAAUUGAGAUUAGAAUUAGAAUAUCAAUAGAAAUACAGUGUGAUAGGAUGAUGGGAUAUUAAGACUAUCAAGGCAUUAAUCAAUUGAGAUUUGAGAACUAGGUCAUAUGACAUGUACAAGACCCUCUAAGAGGAUGACCGAUAUAACUAAAAAUCAUAUAUGCAGAUUAAAGAGAGAAAGCUUGGCACUUGGCUUAACUGUUUCGACAGAAGAGAAUGGAUACGUAUACAAUGACAAAAGAAAAAGAAAUAAAGAGAAGAAAGUUGACCUAAAAUAUACUAAAGGAGCAACUGCUUUUUAUAAAAUAAACAAUAUAAACAAAAUCAAUUUUUUUUCUUCUUUCUUUCGUCUGUGUUCUUCUUUUUUCUUUUGUGGAUUUUUAUUAUUGUACAAUCUGGAUUUUGGUUUUCAAAUUUGAAAUUCUGAUUUUUCCUUUUUUUUUUCUUUUAAUUUGAUUUGUUAUAAAAUUAGGUAAUGUCACGUCACUUAUCAUCUCAAUUAGUUAUUUGUUGGCAUCAUAUUUAGAACUGAUUUAGACCGUUCAUUGUUUUAAAAUCUAAUGACUAAUAAAUAGUGUUAAAAUUAGUGUCAAAUUUGAUGUCCCUUGAACCGGACUCAUAUACGUAAUCAGGUAAAAAAAAUCAUAUAGACUAAGUUCAAUUACAUAAAGAAAUUUUGGGUGGGCUGGUUUUCAUAAUUUAACUUUUUUAAUUAUAAAUAUGCAACAAAACAAUAUUUUCUCAAAAUAUGAGAUGAGUUGUAGCCCACCGUAGACCGUGUGUGGAUACGCCUUUGCCAGCCUGUGAUAAAAAAGAAAAAGAAAAAGAGGACGACGAAGGACCCAUGUACAUAAUCCAGAACUUACUUGUGUGCAUAGUCACAUUCCAACGACUCAUUUUAUUAAGCUCUUUCGGUCUAGUGACCGGUGAUGUCAGUUUAAUAAUUUGGACAUUCUAAUUGCAUCACCCAAUACGUCACCAGUCACCACCACUUCGACAUCGAAUUUUCCUCACCAAGUACGUCACCCCAGCCCAAAAUCUAAAAUCUCCUUCCUCUCUAUAUAAGUAUAUAUAUAGCAGUUAACUCCAUCGAAGGGAGCGCUCGCUCUUCCAUAGAUAUCUGUCUGUCUCCCCACAUUUCACUACUCGAACUUCAAUGAUCUAGCUUCUACAUCAAAAUCGUCAGUUAAGAAUCUGCCACAGAUCGAGAAAAUGGUGAUGGCUAUCGAGCAAGAACACCCCAAGAAGGCAUCUGGAUGGGCUGCAAGAGAUUCAUCUGGUGUUCUCUCUCCCUUCAAUUUCUACAGAAGGUACAUUGGCAACUAGUAUAACAUGUUCUUCCUCUUCGCAUUCGCAAUAAUACAUUUGUUCCGUGUUUCUAAAGUUGAUACAAUUGAUUUGAUUACAGGGAAACCGGAGAGAAAGACGUGACGUUCAAAGUGUUGUACUGUGGGAUUUGCCAUUCGGACCUUCACAUGGUCAAGAAUGAAUGGGGCUUCUCUACCUAUCCUCUGGUUCCAGGGUACGAUAGCUUUUUCUUUACUACCAGGACAUGCACUCUUUACUAGUGUAAUCAGUAAUCUAAUCUGAGCACAAUUUGGCAAUGCAGGCAUGAGAUUGUUGGUGAAGUUACGGAAGUAGGGAGCAAAGUACAAAAAUUUAAAGUUGGAGACAGAGUCGGUGUUGGAUGCAUUGUGGGAUCUUGCCGAUCUUGUGAAAAUUGUACCGACCACCUUGAGAACUACUGCCCCAAACAGAUACUCACUUACGGUGCCAAGUACUACGACGGAAGCACCACCUAUGGCGGUUACUCUGACAUUAUGGUGGCCGAUGAACACUUCAUAGUACGCAUCCCAGACAACUUGCCUCUUGAUGGUGCUGCGCCGCUCCUAUGUGCCGGGAUUACAACCUACAGCCCCCUGAGAUAUUUCGGACUUGACAAGCCCGGCAUGCAUGUAGGUGUGGUCGGCCUAGGCGGUUUAGGCCACGUCGCCGUGAAGUUUGCCAAGGCUAUGGGAGUGAAGGUUACAGUGAUCAGUACGUCCCCUAAGAAAGAGGAGGAAGCUCUUAAACACCUAGGAGCUGACUCGUUUUUGGUUAGCCGUGACCAAGAUCAAAUGCAGGUAGUUUUUCGAACAAGUUACACCUUUUACAACGUUUAAAUGGACAAAAAAAUGAACAAGUUACUUAAUUUUUGUGUCAUUGAUUAAUUUGUAGGCUGCCAUUGGUACCAUGGAUGGGAUCAUUGACACAGUUUCUGCACAACAUCCUCUCCUGCCUUUGAUUGGUUUGUUGAACUCUCAUGGAAAGCUUGUUAUGGUUGGUGCACCAGAGAAGCCUCUUGAACUUCCAGUUUUUCCUUUACUCAUGGGUAAGCAUUAUAGCAUGUAACUAGAGGUCUAGAGUAGUGAUCUUUACCUGUUAUCUUCUGUGCGCAUUGUUGGGUUAUUAACAGAGUUUAAUGUUCGUCUUAACAGGAAGAAAGAUGGUAGCUGGUAGCGGCAUUGGGGGUAUGAAGGAGACACAAGAGAUGAUAGAUUUUGCAGCCAGGCACAACAUAACAGCAGACAUCGAAGUCAUACCAAUCGACUACUUGAACACUGCUAUGGAGCGUCUAGUCAAAGCAGAUGUCAGAUACCGUUUUGUCAUCGACAUUGGAAACACACUGAAGGCUAGCUCUUAAAUUCUGCAAUCCAGACUGGAUCAAUGAAGAAACAAGAACAGAAACUGAGACUGAUUUAGCGUCAUACUCGGUAUUGGUUUUCCUUGUAGCAUUUUUUGUUGUUUGCUACAUGAAUAAUGAUCACAUGAACAACUGCCUUCUGUGAUGAUUUGAUAAUAAAAGAAUACAUAAACAAUGAUAAUGCCUUCUUUUGUAAUGUUUUUUGCUAUAUAAUCACUUAAAAUUAUUUUGCUAUAUCUCUAAUCCCUACUGCUAUUGCAAAUUCAUCAAAAACCAAAAUUAAGAACUGAAAACUUAGAUCUGGUACAAACACACAUGAAGUUAUCUAAAAUGAUGGCUGACUUAUAUUUAACCCUAAAGGUUGGAAUUUCUUCUCUUAUCACAAUGUCAAAAACUAAAAAUCAAGAGAUCCAGUCUUAGAGGACCCAGAACAACUACCAGAAGUGCCAUAUGAACUCCCACUAGAACCAUCGACAGGGGCCUGAUUUAGACAUUCUAAAACCAAAAACCUCCGCUUUUGCAGCUUUAUUGAGAAGGUUGUUGCAUCAAGAAUCACAGGAACCUGUGUAAGCAGAAAUUAUGAAUGACAAAACAAAAACAUAUAAAGCAUACUAGCAUAGUUCAAGGUUCCUUGCCAAUAAGAAGUAUAUUAAACUGGACCAACUUCUAUAGAUGUGGUAACCAUACUAUUAAAGCGUAUAGCAUUAACUACUCAAUAGGUAGCAGAAGUAGUGGUAUUUCAUUAACUGUACUGACAGAUUAAAUGAUCUCUAAGAAUGACCAAGCAUCGGUCAUGUAGUUGCAUAUGAAGAUAGCAGAAAUGGUAACUUUUGUAUCAACUCCAUGCGAAAAUUCAAUCAGUUUUAGAUUUGGGUAAAGCAAAGUUUUGCACUACCUGCGUGUUAAUUUGUGCAACUUUCUGCACAUUAAGAAGGCCAACCAUGUCCUGGUAACCAGUAAGGAGGGUUGCCAAUUCCUUGUCCUCAUCUGAAUCAAUCAUUCAUGACAGGUUAGUAUUGAUAGAACCAAACAAAUAAAUUGUGAGACCAAUGUGAAAGCUGAUAUAUACCUGGAAGCGCUUUAACUGACAGCAAGGUAUCCGCAAUGUGCUGCCAUCUUGUAGAGGAGGAUGAUGAAAGAAGACUAGGCAGAAAUGUCACAACAGCAACUGCAUUUGAAGAUCGUAGCAUGCUUUUCAGAGAUCUAAGUAAGGAAAGCAUGUCCCAUUCCUGCAAUGCAACAGUAUUACACUCGACUCAGUAAUACAAUACAUUGAUUCGAGUAAGGAAAAGACAUAAACAACCAUAAAAUCAGCAAACAGCAGAUAAUAGAAAUAAGAAGCAGCUGCAAAACAGAGACUCGGAAUAGCAGUUGAAGACCAAAUAACAAUUGCCACUCACCAGGUUGGAAUAUCCACACUGUGGAGCACAGAAUGAUUGAAUGGCAAUUCGACCAACACAAGAAAUGUUGCUGUCAUUUCUGUAGAACAGUCAGAAGCAGGUGAAAACAUGAUAACUCAAGUGUCAUGGCAACUCAAGUAUCCACCUGAAUAUGGCAACUCAAGUAUUUCUCAAGCAUGGACUAAUUUCAGUUUUUAAUCACCUAUGUGACAACUCAAAUUCAGAUAUGAAUCAUGAAAUAUCAGACAAGAACCACUAAUAAAGAUAAACCAUUAUAAGCAUAGUUUUGAGACAAAUCAAUCAUUUCAAAUUCAAAUUCACCAAAUGUAGUCUUCAUAAUGCACUAAAGAACCUAGCUUGACAUUGAGAAAAACCAAUGAUAUUCAAAUCAGCAUAUACAUUUACUAACCAGACAAAGAUAUGUGUAAAAUUUUAGGCAGAUAAGAAUCAAGAUUAGAAUACCAUACCUUGGAAAUUGUGAUAAAAAAGUAGCACAACGGUCAUGAAAUGUGACAAGAUUCGGAGAAUCAAGUAUGCUAGCACAUUCUAUUAGCUUGCCCGUUAGAAACUGCCUCUCCAAGGGCUUCCGCAAGUCAAAGUUGUUGCAGAACUCAUGUUUCCCAUCUGGACAAUGAUAGCAUAACAAAUUACUCUUGUGCCAAAGAGACCAGUUUCAUAAGAAUCAAGACCAUUAAAAACUUACUUUGACUAUCAAAACCCUGCUGAUUUUCACCAAAAUACUUCUUAUAUUGCCAAGCUAUCCUCAACCCUUUCUCCUGAAAAUUAUGAUAACACAGUAUUUAUUGCUCAAUUUCUCACCUUAUAAACCCACUUAAACUUGACAAGAGGAAAACCUGAUCAGGGUCUCGAUGACUAGACUUUUCAUCUUUGGGUACGGCUGGACUAGGCAAAGUACCAAGAAACUGUCUUGGAUCCUUGGCUGGGCUUGCAUAGAGAAGAUGUUGGUUGUGAACAAGUCCUUGAGACAUGAAAUUCCUAAGCAAAAGCAUAUGAUGAGGUGCUUCUGCAUCUUCCAUCACCAUGACUAGGCUUCCUAGAGCAAAACCACCCCCUAAAAUUUCUGCAUAUCAAAGACAAUCAAAAUGAAACCGCUAUAAAUGAAGAAUGAAGAAUGGUUUCCAAGAAUUUAUUAGUUAGAAGAUUACUGUCAAGGUCUGGAAUCCCGGAUGAAACAAACAUUGUGCCAUUGGGUCCAUGCUUGAGUCCUGGGAUUUGAGGUGAGCUUGCACCAGAAAAAUUGCGAGAGAAGCUACUCGUCCGAGUCUUGGUUGCAGCCAUGGCUGCCAAAACACUCUCCAAAAGUCUCGAUCCAAUCAAACAGGAACAAAGCCUGCACCUUUUUCCUGAUUAACAGAAGCCCUGCACCCAAUUUGCAAUUUACAAAACUCACAAUUUCCUAUAACACAAGUAACAGAGCGACGACCGGUGAGUUGAGCCCAAGUGAAAGCAUUAGCCAUCGAUAAAGUAAAACUGAAAAAAAUCUAGUGUCUUCAUGGAAAGUUUGAAGGGUGUAUCUUCAUGGAAAGUUUGAAGGGUGUAAAACAAACCUGAAUUGGGUUAAAGCUGUGGAAGUAGCGUUAGGAGUGUAUGAGCCAGAGAAUCUAUGCGCGACGGGAAUACUGCGCCGUCCGGUCAGCUCUGGAUUCUAUGUCGUUUUUUCAGUAAUAAAACAUGGUGUUAUUGAGUGGGCUUAGUUUUUGUAACUGGGCUUGUGCUAUUAAGGCCCAAGUUCGUUUCACUUUUCUCUGUGUGUGUUGGCCUGUUGGGGGGGGUGGGAAUGAAAAUAAUAUCACAUCAGAGAUCGAAAUCGUUCCGAUAGAUUAUGUGUACGCUGCACUUGAACGCACUAGCCUUCUUGCACGAAUCACUUUUCAAUUGUUUAUUAUUUUACUGGAGUUUUAUGACGUAUCAUAUAGCUUCAACCCCUCAGUUACAUAAGCCACUUCAACAAUAAUUAUCAAAUUAACAAAUUAUAACGGAAAGAAUAGAGUCAUCUAUGUGCGGCGUGUAAACGACAUCAUGUGGAUGAUAAGACGGUAAGACCUAUGACUUUUUUAGCUAGACAUAUAGGAGGGUCCUAACAAAUGAAUGGUUAAUAUUGUAUAGUCUAUUUGCAUGUCGUGCAUGAAAAAAUUUCAACAGAAUGUAUCUUAUAGUCUGCAAAAUGAAACAUGAAUUUACCUCUAUCUACACCCCUCCUAGUUACAUCUCGCCAAUCGAUAUUAGGGAUCUCUUCUGUAACUAGUAAUAACUCUCCCUAAUCACAUUGUUAAGCCAUGUCACAUUUACCACCAGAAUAUACAAAAAGAGAGUUCACUCACGUACAACAGCAUUGACCUGAGAGAAUUUAUUAUUAAAUAAACAGUAAUGAUAGAUUGAUAGAAGAAAAAAGCUUUUAUUUUGGAAAGAACUUCCAUUUACUCCUACUUUUCUUUUUCUUUUUUUGGUAAGUCAUUUACUCCUGCUUGAAGUUACUCCUACUUGAAGUAGUGAAAAAAAAACUUGUAUGGAGCAAAUAGACUGAUUAAUUUGUAUAUUGUAGUUGUUUUCCUAGAAUGAUUUUACGUACGCAAAAGGUUUGAUGAGUUUGAUUGAAGAAAAAGAACUCUCUCAGCCCUCAGGCAUGUUUCAGAACUUGGCAAAGCUAGCUAGCAUGAAAAGUUCAAAACUGAAAUAAGAAUGGUUUCUGCUUCCCAAGCAAAUUUUGAUUGUGCCAUUCGCUACUAGUUUAUCAGCUACAAAUGUUUAUUAAUUACCAACGAGCCGCCGGUUUUGGUUUUAAGAUUUCGCCAAAGGAUCUAAACGUGCAUUAAUCUAUGAUUGGUUCAUGUAUGUGUGAUUUAGCAAUUUCCUGAACUUGUGAAAUCUGAGAUAUUGUACGAUGGAAUGUUCCUUGAAGACAAUCAAGCACUUAGCGAAUCAUGGUUCGCCGUCGGGGUUGACCCUCGAUCACAGUGGGUAUAAUAUAUGGUUGGAACAUUGAGAACAAGUAAAGAGGGAAUGGAGACGACUGCUGGUGUAUCCUUUAUGCUACGUCGACAUUGCAGACGACUCUAAUUUGUUUGAAGCUUUUUAAUUAUCUCUUGCAUUUCUUGGAUGUGACUCCAAACAUGCAUAUAUAUGCUAUAUAGGGAUAUAUAGUUUGAUCGAUCAAUACCUCUCUCAUUAGUCAUUACAUCUGAUUCACAUAUAUACUUCCACUGAUCUCCAUCUGGCUCUAUAUAUUUCUCACUGAUUUUCUGGAUACACAUUCGAAAAGAACAUGUCUGAAGCAACAAUUUCAUUUGCCGAAGAAGUGCAGGCCUAUGGAUGGGCUGCUAGAGAUUCCUCAGGAAUUCUCUCUCCCUUCCACUUUACCAGGAGGUAUGUAAAGAACACAUACAGAUGCAUGCUUCUUCCCAUAUAUGCUCACAUAGUUAUCAAUUUGUGCGUAAUUUGUAGGACUAAUGGUGGUAAUGAUAUCACAAUGAAGAUACUCUACUGUGGCAUUUGCCACUCGGACCUUCACCUUGCUAAGAACGAAGUUGGAACAAGCAGAUAUCCCCUCCUCCCAAGGUACGUACUUACGCAAAUUCAUUGUCGCAAUUCUAUAUUAACCCUAGUUGAAAUUCAUUUAACAGACGAUCGAUACACAAGUAAUACGUAUUUUUUCAACAUGAUUUUGUAGACAUGAGAUCGUAGGCGAAGUAACAAAGGUCGGGAGCAGCGUCACAAAGUUCAAAGUAGGAGACAAAGCCGGAGUGGGGUGCAUGGUGGGUUCUUGUGGUUCAUGCGAUAACUGCGCACGAGACUUGGAAAAUCACUGCCCCAAGAUGAAAUGAACCUACAAUAACUUCGGCGAUGAAUCGACGUUAACGUUCGGUGGAUACUCCGACAAGCUAGUAGUUGAGGAGCAUUUCGCAGUCCGAAUUCCAGAUAAUUUGCCAUUAGCAGGUGUUGCGCCUAUGCUCUGUGCUGGGAUUACAGUGUACAGCCCUAUGAAACACUUUGGACUAUUUGAGCAUGGUAAGCAUUUGGGAGUGAUAGGGCUCGGCGGCCUUGGUCAUAUGGCUGUGAAGUUUGCAAAAGCUGUGGGAGCAAAAGUGACAGUGAUAAGUACCUCUCCGAAUAAGAAGAAGGAAGCAAUCGAACAACUUGGUGUUGAUGAGUUUCUGAUUAGUGGCGACCAACAGCAACUGCAGGUAAAUAAAGGACUCGAUCCCUUGCAUUUUCUUUCAUAAAAGCUCGUGCAGCUUCCCACAAGUCUUGAUCAAUGAUGUAGAGGGUUAAUGUUGUUUUACGUUUUACCCUAUGGUGAUAUAUCUAUAUCUAACAUGUUAUAUUGUCGAACUAACUAUUUGUUAAAACAUAAAUUCAUAUUUGCUUGCAUACUUACAUAUAUCAGUUUGUGCACUACAUAUAUAUAUAUAUGUGUGUGUGUGUGUGUGUAUAAUAGGCUGCCGUGGGUACAAUGGAUGGUAUCAUCGACACAGUUUCAGCCCCUCAUGCUCUCUUGCCAUUGAUUGAAAUGUUAAAGACAGAUGGAAAGCUAAUUUUGGUGGGUGCUCCUCUCAUACCUCCUGAGCUACCAGUUUUCCCUUCGAUAAUGGGUAAGUACCAUGAUUAAUUUAUUUGCAUUAUUUUUCUUGGACUCUGUAAAAGCAAAACCUAGCCUGAAUGUGUUAUAUGUUAUUUUCAAUAGGGAGGAAGUUGAUUGCUGGCAGUAAAUUUGGGGGAAUGAAAGAGACUCAAGAGACGAUAGAUUUUGCAGC
rnacentral:lncRNA from 1 species